rnacentral:rRNA from 1 species
AUGAACGCUGGCGGCGUGCCUAACACAUGCAAGUCGAGCGAAGCACUUGUGAUUGAUCCUUCGGGUGAUUUUACUUGUGACUGAGCGGCGGACGGGUGAGUAACGCGUGGGUAACCUGCCUCAUACAGGGGGAUAACAGUUAGAAAUGACUGCUAAUACCGCAUAAGCGCACAGCAUCGCAUGAUGCCGUGUGAAAAACUCCGGUGGUAUGAGAUGGACCCGCGUCUGAUUAGCUAGUUGGUGAGGUAACGGCCCACCAAGGCGACGAUCAGUAGCCGACCUGAGAGGGUGACCGGCCACAUUGGGACUGAGACACGGCCCAAACUCCUACGGGAGGCAGCAGUGGGGAAUAUUGCACAAUGGGGGAGACCCUGAUGCAGCAACGCCGCGUGAGUGAAGAAGUAUUUCGGUAUGUAAAGCUCUAUCAGCAGGGAAGAAAAUGACGGUACCUGACUAAGAAGCCCCGGCUAACUACGUGCCAGCAGCCGCGGUAAUACGUAGGGGGCAAGCGUUAUCCGGAUUUACUGGGUGUAAAGGGAGCGUAGACGGUAAUACAAGUCUGAAGUGAAAGCCCGGGGCUCAACCCCGGAACUGCUUUGGAAACUGUAUAACUAGAGUACCGGAGGGGUAAGCGGAAUUCCUAGUGUAGCGGUGAAAUGCGUAGAUAUUAGGAGGAACACCAGUGGCGAAGGCGGCUUACUGGACGGUAACUGACGUUGAGGCUCGAAAGCGUGGGGAGCAAACAGGAUUAGAUACCCUGGUAGUCCACGCGGUAAACGAUGAAUGCUAGGUGUUGGUGAGCAAAGCUCAUCGGUGCCGCCACAAACGCAUUAAGCAUUCCACCUGGGGAGUACGUUCGCAAGAAUGAAACUCAAAGGAAUUGACGGGGACCCGCACAAGCGGUGGAGCAUGUGGUUUAAUUCGAAGCAACGCGAAGAACCUUACCAAGUCUUGACAUCCCCUUGAAAAACCAGUAACGUGGUUCCCUCUUCGGAGCAAGGGAGACAGGUGGUGCAUGGUUGUCGUCAGCUCGUGUCGUGAGAUGUUGGGUUAAGUCCCGCAACGAGCGCAACCCUUAUCCUUAGUAGCCAGCAGUAAGAUGGGCACUCUAGGGAGACUGCCAGGGAUAACCUGGAGGAAGGCGGGGAUGACGUCAAAUCAUCAUGCCCCUUAUGAUUUGGGCUACACACGUGCUACAAUGGCGUAAACAAAGAGAAGCGAGACCGCGAGGUGGAGCAAAUCUCAAAAAUAACGUCUCAGUUCGGAUUGCAGGCUGCAACUCGCCUGCAUGAAGCUGGAAUCGCUAGUAAUCGCGGAUCAGAAUGCCGCGGUGAAUACGUUCCCGGGUCUUGUACACACCGCCCGUCACACCAUGGGAGUCGAUAACGCCCGAAGUCAGUGACCUAACCGAAAGGAAGGAGCUGCCGAAGGCGGGAUUGAUAACUGGGGUG